UACGUAGGGUGCAAGCGUUAUCCGGAAUUAUUGGGCGUAAAGAGCUCGUAGGCGGUUUGUCGCGUCUGCUGUGAAAACUGGGGGCUCAACCCCCAGCCUGCAGUGGAUACGGGCAGGCUAGAGUUCGGUAGGGGAGAUCGGAAUUCCUGGUGUAGCGGUGAAAUGCGCAGAUAUCAGGAGGAACACCGGUGGCGAAGGCGGAUCUCUGGGCCGAUACUGACGCUGAGGAGCGAAAGCGUGGGGAGCGAACAGG
rnacentral:rRNA from 1 species